CCAAUAGCGUAUAUUAAAGUUGUUGCAGUUAAAAAGCUCGUAGUUGAAUUUCGAGAUCAAUUUGUUGGUCGUGCCUCGGUACGUACUGGCAAUUUUGAUUUCUCCCUUCUGAAGAACCAUGAUGUCAUUAAUUUGGUGUCAUGGGGAAUCAGGACCGUUACUUUGAAAAAAUUAGAGUGUUUAAAGCAGGCUCGCGCUUGAAUACAUUAGCAUGGAAUAA
rnacentral:rRNA from 1 species